rnacentral:rRNA from 1 species
GUUAGGAAUAUUGGACAAUGGGCGCAAGCCUGAUCCAGCCAUGCCGCGUGAACGAUGAAGGCCUUCGGGUUGUAAAGUUCUUUAGCCGAUGAUUAUAAUGACUGUAGUCGGAAAAUAAGCCCCGGCUAACUUCGUGCCAGCAGCCGCGGUAAUACGAAGGGGGCGAGCGUUAUUCGGAAUCACUGGGCGUAAAGCGUGCGUAGGCGGUCUCGUAAGUUAGGAGUGAAAGCCCAGGGCUCAACCUUGGAAUUGCUCUUAAAACUGCAAGGCUAGAAUCUCGGAGAGGAUAGCGGAAUUUCCAGUGUAGCAGUGAAAUGCGUAGAUAUUGGAAGGAACACCAGUGGCGUAAGCGGCUAUCUGGACGAGUAUUGACGCUGAGGCACGAAAGCGUGGGGAUCAAACAGGAUUAGAUACCCUAGUAGUCC